AAGGCUAGGCUCAGUUGGUAGAGCAACGAACUGGUAUCUGCGGGAAGUCAUGGGUUCGAAUCCCGUUGUAGCCUUU